rnacentral:lncRNA from 1 species
UGCUGUGACAUAAUUUAUUUGUGAUGUCAGAAACCAGGUGUCAGCAAUGACUGUGGGGGAGAGAGUCACAGUCUUGGAGGCUGGAAGAGGGUUAGAGGAGGAUGAUUGUAGGAAACCUAUGUCUAAACAAGGGCUUUUCUGAAGGACCACAGAAGGUGUGAAGGCAGCAGCAAAGGAAGCAGAAGUGACCCUGGUUACUUCACAUUGCAUCAGGGAUAGUAGUAUCCCUCUGCCCUUUUGUCCACAAAUCCUUGUAAAGGAUCAGUCAGGGUACAAUUGUGAUUGUCAGAAACUACUACUUCUCCCUGGUUUGAGAUAAAGGGAAAUGCCUGCUGCAUCAGACCAAAGGCCCAUGGAGUCAAGUAAUCUCUUUCCAUCACCAGUGAUCAAGGCAGGGGCCUCUAGAAAGCCCAUAAGCAGAGUAUGAUGUCGGACAACCGACAUCAUAAUGAUGAACAG